GUGGGGAAUAUUGGACAAUGGGCGAAAGCCUGAUCCAGCCAUGCCGCGUGUGUGAAGAAGGUCUUCGGAUUGUAAAGCACUUUAAGUUGGGAGGAAGGGCAGUAAGUUAAUACCUUGCUGUUUUGACGUUACCGACAGAAUAAGCACCGGCUAACUUCGUGCCAGCAGCCGCGGUAAUACGAAGGGUGCAAGCGUUAAUCGGAAUUACUGGGCGUAAAGCGCGCGUAGGUGGUUUUGUAAGUUGGAGGUGAAAUCCCCGGGCUCAACCUGGGAACUGCCUACAAAACUGCAUGACUAGAGUACGGUAGAGGGUAGUGGAAUUUCCUGUGUAGCGGUGAAAUGCGUAGAUAUAGGAAGGAACACCAGUGGCGAAGGCGACUACCUGGACUGAUACUGACACUGAGGUGCGAAAGCGUGGGAGCAAACAGGAUUAGAAACCCGGGUAGUCC
rnacentral:rRNA from 1 species